UUUUUUUUUUUUUGCAAGAACGUGUUUUUUCUAUUUACUUAUUUAUUUAGACAAAAGAACAUGUUGUAAUUUGUUAACCAUAUAAUGAAUUAAAUCAACCAUAUCUUUUUUUAAUCAAAUCAUUGAACUCAGGUAGUUAAUCAACUAUCGUUAAAAUGAAUUGUUUGAGAGAACACAAGUUCGAUUCCUUAUCAAACUUAAGAUUACUUGUGAUCAAUCUUCUAGAAAUCAAAACGUUAGCAAUAAAAAACAUAUAAUUUUCCGGUGGUUCUGGGAAAAAACAAAAAAGAAUAUAAAAUAACCAUAUACCUCUUAAAAAUAAACUUUUUAAACACAUAUUAAACUGAACUAACCAUAACUCGUUAACAACAUCAUAUUCAAUGAAUAGUACCAUAUGCCAUAUCUUCUCAUCUUGCCAUGGUGUGAACAGUAAAUAAUAUGUUGUGAUGUAUUUUUGUCAAAACAAUUGGGUUAGUGUGCAGUCACACCAUGGACUCAUGCAAGCCAUUUGAAACAAUCUGAUUGAGGUCGGAUGGUUCAAAUUUGAAGUUGUUAAUUUUGAAUUUUUAGAAAAUAUAAACAUGCUAUUUUUUAGAACCGUAUGAUCUUGAUCUGGUGCGAACAUAUCAUCUAAGUGCAUGAGUGCUCUGAAUCCGAAUUUGUGUCCAAAUUAAAUGGUAUUUCAGUAAUAAAAAAGUGUUAAAAAAUCCUCUCAAAAAGGUCCACUAGGAUGACUUCAUUUGUAAUAUUGGACAGGGAUGGAUAUGAAUACAUGUUUAUUGAUAAGAUUGUUCGAGUCGUCUCAACAGUGAUACAACCUUUUUCUUUAUCUAUACCUGAUUACCUAGUUGGGUUGGAGGACCAAAAACAAGAUGUAUUAUCGCUUUUGAAUGUUGACUCUGAUGAUAAGGUCUAUAUGGUUGGAAUCCACGGAACCGGUGGAAUAGGGAAAACAACUCUUGCUCAAGCGGUUUAUAAUUCAAUUGUAGAUCAAUUUGAUGGUUCGUGUUAUCUUGAAGAUGUAAGAGGAAAAACAGGGAAUGAGGGGUUGAUACAUCUUCAAAAUAUCCUUCUUUCUAAAAUAUUUGGAGAAAAUAAAAUCGUGGUAACAAGUGUUAACGAGGGAAUUAAUGAACUUCAAGUUAGGCUAAAAAAAAAGAAAGUUCUUUUGCUUCUUGACAAUGUUGACAAGUUGGAUCAAUUACGCAAUAUUGUUCGAGAACCCGGAUGGUUUGGUCGUGGAAGUAGAGUUAUGAUCACGACCCGUGACAUAGACGUGCUAAGAAGGCAUGGGGUUGAAAGAAGACAUGAGGUGAAAAUGUUGAACAAGGAUGAAGCUUACGAUCUUCUUAGAUGGAAAACUUUUCAAACUAAUGAAGUUAGUCCAAGCUUUGAAGAUGUUUUCAAUCGUGCUUUAACCUAUAUCAGUGGCCUUCCAUUAGCUAUUGAAAUAAUCGGUUCUCACUUAUUUUCAAAAAAAACAAUAGAAGAAUGGAACUCUGUGUUAGAUCAGUACAAAAAGGUUCCUAACCAAGAGAUCUUUGAGAUUCUUAAAGUGAGCUACAAUGAUUUGGUCCAAGAUUAUAAAGAUGUUUUUCUUGACAUAGCUUGUUUCUUCAAAGGAGAUAAUUUGGAAUAUGUCAAAAAAAUACUUCAUGCUCAUUAUGGUGACGAGAAGAAAGAUCAUAUCAAUGUGUUAAUUGAAAAAUCUCUCAUAAAGAUAAGCGAGUUUAAUGAUUUGAGUUUACAUGAUCUGAUAGAAGAUAUGGGAAAAGAAAUUGUCAGACUAGAAUCACCAUAUCAGCCUGGAGAACGCAGUAGAUUAUGGUCUGUUAAAGACAUAGUUGAAGUUUUGGAGGAAAAUACGGUGAGUAAAAUUUAUUCAACUUUUAAUCUUUAACCUAGUUUUAGAUCUUUUCAGUAUCCAUAUUACUAAUGCUCACAUUACAAAUUUUUCCUUUAUAAUUUGUAAUGUUAUUUAAAUAUGUGUAAUUAAAUUCUAACGUAUAUACAUGUAUUUUGAUUCAUUUAUGCUCUUUUUGUUAACAGGGAACAAGUAAAAUUGGAACCAUUAUUAUGCCUUGGGAUAUCAAGAAGGACAAUGUAGUAAAUUGGGAUGGAGAGGCUUUUAAGAAUAUGACAAAGCUUAGAACACUUCUUAUUGAAGGAGUUAAAUUUUCUGAAAGUCCAAAGCAUCUUCCAAAUAGUUUAAGAAUACUGGAGUGGUACGACUAUCCAUCACAGUAUUUCCCGGUUGAUUUUCUCCCGAGGCAACUCAUCAUAUGCAAAUUGAGCUCUGAAUUUUAUCGUCCUCGGGAAGACUUUUUCAAGAAGGCAAGCGUGAUGAAUUUAUAAUAUUCUUAACAUUCUUGAAAAUUUUAUAAAAGCGUAAACAUGCCAUUUUCUUAUGAGCACCUAAAAUAAAAGCUGAUAAUUUUGUAAAGAAGAAAAAUAUAUUUAAUCCAAUUAAUAAUGUCACAUUAAUUAAGAUCACUCGCUCACUCAUUUAUUUGUUUUUUGUUUUGUUUUGCAGUACUGCAGGAAUAUGAGAAUUUUACAGUUUCUUCAUUGUAAUUCUUUGAGAUCGAUACCUAAUAUGUCAGGUCUCCAAAAUUUAGAAGAACUUUCAUUUUGGAGGUGUCCGGAGUUAAUUACAUUUGAUGACUCCAUUGUUUUGCUGGGUAAACUUAAAAUUUUGAAUAUCAUAAACUGUGGUGAACUCAAAUAUAUUCCACUCCUCAAAUUAGCUUCAUUGAAAAAACUCACUCUUUCAAAUUUAUAUAGUAUUAAGAGUUUUUCUCCCAUGUUGAAUGAGGCAUUGGAUAAACUUCAAUUUUUGGAGGUCAUCUGGUGUCCUUUUCUCAAAUAUAUUCCACCUCUUAAAUUAACUUCAUUGAAAACACUCACUCUUUCACAUAUAGAUCGCAUUAAGAGUCUUUCUCCCAUGUUGGACGAGUCAUUGGAUAAGCUUAAAAUUUUGAUGGUUGAAUAUUGUGCAAAGAUCCAAACUAUUCCAUCUCUCAAAUUACCUUCAUUGGAGGAACUCACUCUUAGCAAUUUAUCUAGUAUUGAGAGUCUUUCUCCCACGUUGGAUGAGUCAUUGGAUAAGCUUAAAAUUUUGGAGGUUGAUGAUUGUGGAAAGCUCCAAACUAUUCCAUCUCUCAAAUUACCUUCAUUGGAGGAACUCACUCUUAGCAAUUUAUCUAGUAUUGAGAGUCUUUCUCCCAUGUUGGAUGAGUCGUUGGAUAAGCUUAAAAUUUUGAAGGUUGUUGAUUGUGCAAAGCUCCAAACUAUUCCAUCUCUCAAAUUACCUUCAUUGGAGAAACUCAGGCUUGGAAGUUUAUCUAGUAUUCAGAGUCUUUCUCCCAUGUUGGAUGAGUCGUUGGAUAAGCUUAAAAGUUUGAAGGUUUUAUUUUGUAAGAAGCUCCAAACUAUUCCAUCUCUCAAAUUACCUUCAUUGGAGAAACUCAGGCUUGGAAGUUUAUCUAGUAUUCAGAGUCUUUCUCCCAUGUUGGAUGAGUCGUUGGAUAAGCUUAAAAUUUUGAUGGUUGAUGGUUGUGAGAACCUCCAAGCUAUUCCAUCUCUCAAAUUACCUUCGUUGGAGCAACUCUGGCUUGUAAUUUUAUUUAGUAUUCAGAGUCUUUCUCCCAUGUUAGAUGAGUCGUUGGAUAAGCUUAAAAUUUUGGAGGUUCAUGGUUGUGUGAACCUCCAAACUAUUCCAUCUCUCAAAUUACCUUCAUUGGAGAAACUCACUCUUAAAGGUUUAUAUGGUAUUAAGAGUCUUUCUCCCAUGUUGGAUGAGUCAUUGGAUAAACUUAAAGUCUUGAAUAUUAGAUAUUGCUAUGACCUGUGUAGUUUUCCACAUGUCAUGUUGCCUUCACUAGAAAUCCUUAAUCUUUUAUAUUGUUAUUUUCUCGAGAGUUUUCCACCUGUCAUGUUGCCUUCACUAGAAAUCCUUGAUCUUUCAUAUUGUAAAUCUCUCGAGAGUUUUCCACGUAUCACCAGUCGGUCAAUGACUAAACUUAAAAUAUUGAGACUUGAAGGUUGUGAAAAGCUCAGGAAUAUUCAUGCUAUCAAUGUGGAUUCCUUAGAUGAAUUCGAUUAUUCAGGAUGUGAGAGUCUCGAGUUUCCCACCUCUGACUGAUGGAAGAGAUUAAUGCAGUUUACACCAUUUCAUUGUGUCAACUCAAGAGCACUCCCAUUACUAGGUAGCUCUUUAAAAAGAUAUUUAUAUAUGAACCUUUUUUUUCUUUUCUAAGACUUGUAUAUGGUUUGAUUCUAAAAAAGUUGGAUUCUACUGGAGAUAUACUAUAUCUUGCAGGUCUCUUUUCCUGCCAAUUAAAUCUUAUGCAUUUUCUAAAGGUUUAAAUGUUGAUUUAUGUAUUUUGCCUCAAUCACGAUUUUGAUCCUCCUAUUUUUAUAUCUAUGAUUUUAAUCAUCGAUCUAACUUUUAAAAUCAAUGACUUAAUUUAUUCUACGUGUGCAUUUUGAAGCUGAAUUUUGAUGAUAUGAUAAGUGAGAUGUUGAUCAAAACAUACACUAAUUUUCAUUACAAUUCAUACUGCUUCUUGAUUUUUGUGUGUUAAUCGCAUACCUGGAGAAAAUGCUAACAGUUUUUGUUGUUUUUGCUGCAAUCAUUAUUAAUAUUAAUUUUGUCUCUAUAGAAUGGAUCAAAAAGCGUGUGAUGAAUCUGUCAAAAAAGCUUCGGAUUUCAAGUGUGAUAAUUUUUUUUAAGAAGUUGAUAAAUCAAUUGCAUGCCCCACUCAAGUGUGAUAAGAAGACUGAACCAUUAUUUGCAAAAUAAUCUUUUCAAAAUAUUUGCAACAAAGUUGAAGUUCUUGCUAAGAGGUAAUUGCAAAAUUAUUUAUUUAUUUAUAUAUCACUUACUCUGAAAGCUUAUAAGGUCUUGCAACCUUUUAACAUAAUUUUUCCCUCUAAUAAAGCUUCAUUAUUUGCUAAUGGUCCCUUAACCUUACAAUUUUUCCCUCCUCUUCUAUGCCUAAUUUGAAAUUCAAAUAGUGAUGGUUUAAUUUUCCCUAAUAAUCCGUGUAUAGAUAAGGAGUAAAUAGUCAAUUUCCCCCCUAAAAUUGUAAGUUUCAUCAAUUACCCCUCUGAAAUUAACAAAACUUCAAUUACCUCUGAAAUUUCACAACGUUGGUCAAUUUACCGCCUCCGUCAAAUUUUUCUGUUAGUGAACAUGAUGUUUUGCAAAUACCCCCCCGAAGUUUUGCACUUAUGUGCAAAAUGCCCCCCAAAAUUAAAAAUUUAUAUUAUUUUUUUCUUAAAAACAAACAAUUAAUAGUUAAAUAUUAAAGCUAACUAUNAUAAACAUGCUAUUUUUUAGAACCGUAUGAUCUUGAUCUGGUGCGAACAUAUCAUCUAAGUGCAUGAGUGCUCUGAAUCCGAAUUUGUGUCCAAAUUAAAUGGUAUUUCAGUAAUAAAAAAGUGUUAAAAAAUCCUCUCAAAAAGGUCCACUAGGAUGACUUCAUUUGUAAUAUUGGACAGGGAUGGAUAUGAAUACAUGUUUAUUGAUAAGAUUGUUCGAGUCGUCUCAACAGUGAUACAACCUUUUUCUUUAUCUAUACCUGAUUACCUAGUUGGGUUGGAGGACCAAAAACAAGAUGUAUUAUCGCUUUUGAAUGUUGACUCUGAUGAUAAGGUCUAUAUGGUUGGAAUCCACGGAACCGGUGGAAUAGGGAAAACAACUCUUGCUCAAGCGGUUUAUAAUUCAAUUGUAGAUC
rnacentral:lncRNA from 1 species